UGUAAUUCAUUUUUUUAGUAAACUGCUACUAAAGUCUGUAGUAAUGAAACAUUUACUAAAAUUUUUAGUAAUUAUAACAUAAAAUUUUAGUUAUGUUGCCGGGAAUCACUAAAGUCUUAUGUUACCUUUACUAAAAUUCUAUUUAUCUGUGAAUUUUUUAGUGAAAGUAACUAAAAUUUUUAGUUUUAUUGCUCUUUUACUAAAGUUUAGUAGGCAAUUUAGUCAAAUUCUUUACUAAAGUUUCCAGUAAAGACAUAACUACUAAAAUUCUUUAGUUAUGUCAACUAGAAUUUUAGGAUUAAUGACUACAAUUAUUUUUUUCUUCUUUUACUAAAGUUUAGCCAUGCCAAUCAAAAAUUAAGUUGAUAUCACUAAAUUGACAAAUUUUCAAACUUAUUAAAUAUUUAGAAAAAAUUAAAAUUUUUAUUUCUCCUUUAUCUAUUUAUAAUAAUUAUUUCUGAUCAAGUUAAUUUGCGAAAAUAUUAGCAACGUAAUUUAUUUUACAUAUUGUCUUUGUUCCAAUGCAAGAUGUUCAGCUCAAACCAUUUUUAUUGUUUUAUUAGGGUGCCGAGGUCUCAAAAAAAUGCAUGCAGAAGAUUUGUGUGAAGAACGCAUACAACACAUAUACCGGAGGCUUUAUUUUUUCUCACCCUUUCUUACCCACACACAAAUUUUUCUCCUUAUUUUCUCCUUAGCACCCUCUAAAGUAUUUCACAAUAUUCAGUUCUUUGUGGAAUUUUCCAUCGAAAGUACGCAAAAUAUUUUGUCUUCAAUCAAUGUGAUAUGUGAAAAGUAAAUUUAAUCCAUUUGUAUAGUAGUUUUGAGAGUGAAAAUUGUGGAAAAGCCGAUUGUUAAAAAAAAGAGGAUAAACAUGACAAGGUAUUGUAUAAUUUAAGUGAAUAACAAUUCUUUAUAUUACGAAUUGAUUUACAACAAAUAAAAUUAUCAACUUUGAAUUCAACCAACUAAUUAUAUGAUUUUACUAUCUUGCAGUAAAACAGGAAGAGGAAUGGAUCAUAUUCUCAUCGAAGCCUUCCUGUCUGUACCUGAAUGGUCUGCCCAUCCCCAAUAAUAAUUGAAACAGGAUAAAGGAAAUCCAAUGGGAAAAAUUAAAAUGUAAAGGUAAGUACCUACACAUUUGCCGUGAAAUAUAUUGCAUCCAAAAACUUAUCAAUUUAUAAAAUCCAAAAUAUUAAUUCUUGUUCUAAUUUAACAGAUUUUACCGAAUGAGCGCAUAUCAAGCGCUGUCAACCCGUAAUCAAAUUUUGGAAACUUAGAUUGAACGAAGAGGAUAAACACGAAAAGUUAAUCAGACUACAAUAAACAACCGGAAAAUGGGUCAUAUUCUCAUCGAAGCCGUCUUGUCUGUACCUGGAUAGAGUCUAUGAUCAAAAACAUUGAUUGAGAUAGGACAGAGGAAAUCAAAUCACGAGAAAUAAAGUUUAAAGAUUCCGCCAACUGACAUAAAGAACAGAACUUUCGCGAUUCCUUGAAAGGGUACUUUGGAAGAAAAUGACGUUAAGACACUCACAUGAAUCUGCCGAACUUCACUGAACAAAAAGGCUUUUCAAAACGGGAUACCUGCCUAGUUAAUUAUUAUAACUAUUACAUACAAUGUAAUAUAAAUUAAAUUGAAAUAAAAAAUUAUUUUUUUAAAUCAAAAUUCAAUAUUUAAUUUUUUUUAGUCAAACAAACUGGAUUUCCAGUUAGCAUGGCUAAACUUUAGUAAUCCAAGAAUUUUUAACAACUAUAGUCAUGUAAAUGAAAAUUUCUGUUCUCAUUCCUAAAAUUUAGUAAUCGAAGAAUUUAGAAUAAAUAGUUUUAUCAACAAAAACCUCUGUUGACAUUCCCAAACUUUAGUAAUAUACAGACGUAAAACAUUUUAUUAGCCAUAACUAAAUAUUCUGUUGAGAGAACUAAAAUUUUUCGUAAUGAGCAACUACUAAAAUUUUAGUAAAAAUUUCUUUACUAAAAUUCUCUACUAAAGUCCAGUCAGUGCCAGUUUUAGUAAUGAUAACUAAAAUCUGAA